GCCAAGCAGGCGCUUUUGCCGUUGAGCUAAAUCCCCAGCCCCUACAGAGGCUUUAAAGUCUACAAAAAAGCUAGGUAGUUUUGGCAGCACACACCUAUCAUCCCAGCACUCUGGGAGGCUGAGGCAAGAGGACUGCAAAUUCAAGCUCAGUCUGGGCAACUUGGAGACCCUGGCUUCUAAAAUGAAUAAAGCCUGUGGGGGACAUGGGCAAGUUCUAUUGCCAACAAAGUUUGUGAGCAUCUGUGGUACCCACAGUUUGGAAGCCGUC